CUAAAUUUAUUAUAUAUUAAUUUCAAACUCUAAAAUCUAUAAAUCAAAUUUUAUACUAUGAAUUUAAUUUGAAUCAUUUUUGAAUUAUUAAAAAAAUUUCUAUAAAAAUUUUAACUUAUAAAAUUUUUUAAAUUUCAAAACAAAAUAUUAAAAUUUAUAAGUAAAAGUAAAAAAAACUUAAAUAUUCUAAUCUUACAUUUUAAAUCUUAAAAUUUAAAAUAUUUUAAUUUAAG
rnacentral:tRNA from 1 species